CCUACGGGAGGCAGCAGUGGGGAAUUUUGGACAAUGGGCACAAGCCUGAUCCAGCAAUGCCGCGUGCAGGAUGAAGGCCUUCGGGUUGUAAACUGCUUUUGUACGGAACGAAACGGUGAGCUCUAAUACAGUUUGCUAAUGACGGUACCGUAAGAAUAAGCACCGGCUAACUACGUGCCAGCAGCCGCGGUAAUACGUAGGGUGCGAGCGUUAAUCGGAAUUACUGGGCGUAAAGCGUGCGCAGGCGGUGAUGUAAGACAGAUGUGAAAUGCCCGGGCUCAACCUGGGACCUGCAUUUGUGACUGCAUCGCUAGAGUACGGUAGAGGGGGAUGGAAUUCCGCGUGUAGCAGUGAAAUGCGUAGAUAUGCGGAGGAACACCGAUGGCGAAGGCAAUCCCCUGGACCUGUACUGACGCUCAUGCACGAAAGCGUGGGGAGCAAACAGGAUUAGAUACCCUGGUAGUCCACGCCCUAAACGAUGUCAACUGGUUGUUGGGUCUUCACUGACUCAGUAACGAAGCUAACGCGUGAAGUUGACCGCCUUGGGGAGUACGCGCGAGUUAGAGUUAAGAGUUAGAGNGNGAGAGNGCGAGGCGACGACGAGGGAGGAGG
rnacentral:rRNA from 1 species